GCUCUUUUGUUUUGGUGUUUUCUUGCUAUUCUAGUGUUUUAGCUGCUUGUGGCUGUGGUUGGUGUUCCUUGUGUUGGUUAUAAGAGGGAUUGCUCAUUGGCAAGAUUUUUUAGCCAGCAGCCCUUUCACAAUCUCUCCCAUUUUCAUUAUCUUAAUAAAAUUCUAUUGCUUACAAAAAAAUAAAGAGUGUGAAGUUAUUUAU
rnacentral:misc_RNA from 1 species